GAAUCACUUCAAAAGGUAAAAGCAAAGAAAAUUUUGUAGAAGCCAACACUAUGACCAAGUUGCAAAGUAGUGUACUUAUUGUGUUGGCAUUGUUUGCCCUCUUCAGUCAAAUUUAUGGAGAAAUCCAUUUUUGUCCAAAAUCGAUGAAUUUUCCUGGCCAAUGUCCAAUGGGUACUUCAGGAAAAGGUUGCUCUGAAGAAUUUCAUGCAAGACUAGGAGCAGGUGCCAUGCCUCAGAAUUGCACAUGUAGUAAUGCUCCUAAUAACCAACGCCAAUGCACUUGUCAAGUUAAUUGUGGAUACUAAGACAUUUUCCUUAAUACAAUAAGUGUUGACCAAUCUUAUGUAACACAUUGAGAAUUUUAAGAAAUAUCUUCAAUUUGUUACCUCUCUUUCA